AUUGAACGCUGGCGGAAUGCUUUACACAUGCAAGUCGAGCGGCAGCGCGGCCUUCGGGCUGGCGGCGAGCGGCGAACGGGUGAGUAAUGCAUCGGAACAUGCCCAGUCGUGGGGGAUAACACUUCGAAAGAAGUGCUAAUACCGCAUACGUCCUGAGGGGGAAAGCGGGGGAUCGCAAGACCUCGCGCGAUUGGAGUGGCCGAUGUCAGAUUAGCUAGUUGGUGGGGUGAAGGCCUACCAAGGCGACGAUCUGUAGCUGGUCUGAGAGGAUGAUCAGCCACACUGGGACUGAGACACGGCCCAGACUCCUACGGGAGGCAGCAGUGGGGAAUUUUGGACAAUGGGGGCAACCCUGAUCCAGCCAUUCCGCGUGAGUGAAGAAGGCCUUCGGGUUGUAAAGCUCUUUCGGCAGGAACGAAACGGUGGGCUCUAACAUAGUCCGCUAAUGACGGUACCUGAAGAAGAAGCACCGGCUAACUACGUG
rnacentral:rRNA from 1 species